rnacentral:rRNA from 1 species
CGACGUGAGUAACCUGCCUCAUACAGGGGAAUAACAGUUAGAAAUGACUGCUAAUGCCGCAUAAGCGCACAGGGCCGCAUGGCCCGGUGUGAAAAACUCCGGUGGUAUGAGAUGGACUCGCGUCUGAUUAGCUAGUUGGCAGGGUAACGGCCUACCAAGGCGACGAUCAGUAGCCGGCCUGAGAGGGUGAACGGCCACAUUGGGACUGAGACACGGCCCAA